rnacentral:rRNA from 1 species
AGCAGCCGCGGUAAUUCCAGCUCCAAUAGCGUAUAUUAAAGUUGCUGCAGUUAAAAAGCUCGUAGUUGAAUUUCGGGACUAAUAUGUCGGUCGUGCCUCGGUACGUACUGGCUUAUUGGUUUCUCCUUUCUGAAGAACCAUGAUGUCAUUUGUUUGGUGUCGUGGGGAAUCAGGACUGUUACUUUGAAAAAAUUAGAGUGUUUAAAGCAGGCUUACGCUUGAAUACGUUAGCAUGGAAUAAUGAAAUAGGACGUUUGAUUCUAUUUUGUUGGUUUCUAGGAUCGACGUAAUGAUUAAUAGGGAUAGUUGGGGGCAUUAGUAUUCAAUUGUCAGAGGUGAAAUUCUUGGAUUUAUUGAAGACUAACUACUGCGAAAGCAUUUGCCAAGGAUGUUUUCAUUAAUCAAGAACGAAAGUUAGGGGAUCGAAGACGAUCAGAUACCGUCGUAGUCUUAACCAUAAACUAUGCCGACUAGGGAUCGGAUGAUGUUAAUUUUUAAUGUACUCAUUC